rnacentral:pre_miRNA from 1 species
AAUAAGUUAAUUUUAUAGUUUUGAUAUACAAUGUUUGACUCUUUAUUUUAUUUAUUUUUUUAUGAUUAAUAUUUUUAUUGUUUUUAGAUGAUAAAACAUGAAUAAUACUUUACACGUGACUAUUUUUUUAAAAUAUCUUUAUAAGUUUUUCAAAUAAGACGAAUGGUCAAACACCAGACACAGAAACCAAAAGUUGAAGUCUUU